CGGAGGAUCCAAGCGUUAUCCGGAAUCAUUGGGUUUAAAGGGUCCGUAGGCGGUCCUGUAAGUCAGUGGUGAAAGCCCAUCGCUCAACGGUGGAACGGCCAUUGAUACUGCAGGACUUGAAUUACUGGGAAGCAACUAGAAUAUGUAGUGUAGCGGUGAAAUGCUUAGAGAUUACAUGGAAUACCAAUUGCGGAGGCAGGUUGCUACCGGUGGAUUGACGCUGAUGGACGAAAGCGUGGGUAGCGAACAGGAUUAGAUACCCUGGUAGUCCACGCCGUAAACGAUGGAUACUAGCUGUUGGGAGCGAUCUCAGUGGCUAAGCGAAAGUGAUAAGUAUCCCACCUGGGGAGUACGAACGCAAGUUUG
rnacentral:rRNA from 1 species